rnacentral:rRNA from 1 species
GAGUGGGUUCUAGCGAGCCCAACCUCCCACCCGUGUUUACUGUACCUUAGUUGCUUCGGCGGGCCCGCCAUUCAUGGCCGCCGGGGGCUCUCAGCCCCGGGCCCGCGCCCGCCGGAGACACCACGAACUCUGUCUGAUCUAGUGAAGUCUGAGUUGAUUGUAUCGCAAUCAGUUAAAACUUUCAACAAUGGAUCUCUUGGUUCCGGCAUCGAUGAACAACGCAACGAAAUGCGAUAACUAGUGUGAAUUGCAUAAUUCCGUGAAUCAUCUAGUCUUUGAACGCACAUUGCGCCCCCUGGUAUUCCGGGGGGCAUGCCUGUCCGAGCGACAUUGCUGCCCAUCAAGCACGGCUUGUGUGUUGGGUCGUCGUCCCCUCUCCGGGGGGGACGGGCCCCAAAGGGAGGGGCGGCACCGCGUCCGAUCCUCGAGCGUAUGGGGCUUUGUCACCCGCUCUGUAGGCCCGGCCGGCGCUUGCCGAACGCAAAUCAAUCUUUUUCCAGGUUGACCUCGGAUCAAGUAGGGAUACCCGCUGAACUUAAGCAUAUCAAUAAGCCGGAGGAAAACAAUGCGGGGGUGUAGGGUUACAAAACCACCCCCCCCCCCCGGUUUAUGUUACUUUUUGUGUUAGGGGGAGCGUUUUUUGGGGGGGGGUUUCCCCCCGCCGCAACCACAAAAACGACUGAUAUUAGGAGCCCGAAAUUGAAUUGUUAUCCCACUUCACUUAAAAAUUCUUCACAACGAGAAUCUGUUGGCUUCUGCGCGAUAAAAAAACACACCAAAGGGGGAAACCAGGGGGGAUUGACAAAAAUUCCGGAUUACGAGUCUUUUAAAUAUCACUGCGCGCCGUCAGGGGGACAGCACACUACAUCGCUUUGUA